GUAUUAAUUUGCUAGUGUAUAUUCAGAUAGCAGCAUGGCAUGUGUAAGGAUUAGGUAGGUGGCCGGGACACGCAGUCAUUAGGCUCUAUUCACUGCGCCUGCCGGCGCAGCAAAUUGCACCUCGCGGUGCCACAAACCACGCCUCACGGCGUGAUCCAUGGCGCCUGACGGCGCAUCCACAACCAACAACCAGGUGCACAGGAACGCGUACUCACAGAAGCACGGUGAUGAUCCUUCCGCAGGUUCACCUACGAAAA
rnacentral:misc_RNA from 1 species